AGAAUAGGAGGUAAUAAAUACUUCUUUCUUUUCAUAGAUGAGUGGACUAGGAAGAUGUGGGUUUACUUGAUCAAAGAAAAUAAGAACAUAUACUUAUGCUUUGUAAAAUUUUGUGCUAUUGUGGGGAGGGAAUCUGGUUUGCAGGUGAGGAUUUUCAGCACAGACAGUGGAGGAGAAUUCAACUCACUUGAAAUCAAUGAGUUUUUUCACCAACAAAGGUAUCGUGCAUGAAGUGGUAGCACCGUACACACCCCAACACAAUGGUCUUGCAGAGAGAAGGAAUCAGAUGCUGCUUGACAUGACCAGAUGCAUGCUUAAAGCAAAGAAGCUACCACACUGUUUGUGAGGAGAAGCCAUUGAUAAAACAACUCAUUUACUGAAUAGGAGUCCAACCAAAUCAUUGCCUAACUGCACUCUAGAGGAAGCUUGGUCAGGAGUUAAACCUACAGUUAAGAAUCUGCGUGUUUUUGGGUCUACAUGUUACAAAUAUACAUCGGAUGAAAGAAAGAAGAAGUUAGAUGAUAUAAGUGAGAUGCUUAUCCUCGUUGAGUAUCACUCAGCUGGUGCUUAUAGAAUGUAUGAUCCGAGGAAAAAUCAGAUAAUUAUGAGUAAAGAUUUUAUAGUGGAUGAAGAAAACAGUUUUGAUUGGAAGACGACAGAAGCCGAACCAGACUUUGUUCAAGGUAUUUUAGAAGACAAUCGUGCUGAAAAAAAACAAGUAGUUGGAGGCAAUGAAGGAAACAACAGAAGGUCACAAAGAGCUAGAUUUCCCUCAACGAGGUUGUCAAGGCAUGAAGUGUUUCCAGACCGUGAUGUUUUAGAUUCUGGAGACUUUGCUCAUCUUGCAUUUCUGGUAGAUGCAUAGCCUAUUACUUGGAGGCAAAACAUUGACAUGAAGGAGUGGAAGGAAGCAAUGAUUGAAGAGUUAAGGUCCAUUGAAAGGAAAAGAACAUGGGACAUGGUUGAACUACCUCAGCAUAAGCGAGCAAUUGAGGUAAAAUGGGUCUUCAAGACCAAGUAUAAAGCAGGUGGUGAGAUAGCUAAGCUAAAGGCCAGACUAGUAGUGAAGGGGUUUCUGCAGCAGCAAGGAGUUGAUUAUACAAAUGUUUAUGCACCAAUUGCAAGGUUUGAGACAGUGAGACUCGUGAUAGCGGUUGCUAGCCGGAAUAACUAGAGAAUUCAGCAGUUAGAUGUGAAGAGUAUGACGCGAAUACAAAGGUAAUAUCGUACUAUUAGUACUUGUAGAUAUCCAUUACUAAAAAAAAUUAAAAUUAUAUUUAUAUUAUAUUAGGUUAAAUUUCAUUAAAAUUAAAAUUAAAUUUUAAUUUAUGUUAUAUUAUAUAUUUUUUGUAAUUUAAUUUAGAUUUUAUUUUUAGUUUUAUAAAAUAUAAUUUUUUUUUUAAAUAUCUACGGGUAUCAAGGAUACUUGCAUGUUUUAAAACAUGUGGAUAUUUUUUAAAUAGGUAUCGGACAAGUAGGAAAUAAGUAACAGGUGAAUUUUCUUGUUGCGGGAUCGGGUAAUUGAUAGACACUAUCUUCAUACUUAGGGAUGACAACGGGUCGGGUCGGGCAUAGAUAGUGCCUACCCGCAACCCGACCGUUGGAUAAAAUUGUAUCCGCUACCUGUCCCAUUACCCUCUAGAUACCAGCUUUAAAAAAAUCUGUGGAUUUUUUUAACUCGUGGAUACCCGUUGGAUACCCGUUUUCAACACGCGAAUAUUUAAAAAAAAAUUAUUUUAUAAGUUUUUAAUGAGGUUCGCUUACGUGCACAAGGUUUUCGGGGCCAACAAUGUGGCCAAGCUUCUCAAUGAACUCAGCGUCUCGCAGCGAGACGACACCGUAAAGUCGCUCGCUUAUGAGGCUGAGCCGCGUCGACCCCGACUAUGGCUGCGUGGGCCUCAUCUUCGUCCUACAACGCAGGCUCAAGCAGAUCCAGGUGGAACUCAACAGUGCAAAGAAGGAACUCGCAACAUACGUCGGUCCCCAAGCUUUUCAGGGCUUACCCGCCCCCAUUUUCCAGCGACACCCAAACAACCCUUUUUCCGGUUCCCUGUAUGGGAGCAUGGCGAGGGUGAUGACAGCCGCUCACGGUGGGCAACUGAUGAUUCAUGAUGACCAUUCCCCGCAAUAGCAUCAGAUCUUGGAGGCCCAGCAGUUCGCUGCGGCUGUGGUGGCGAGGAAGCUGCAGGAGAUGUUCAGGGGUUACGAGCAUCAACAGCGGCAAGAGGCACGUUCUGCGUAGGGGUUGCAAAGAGGCACGUGGGAUGUAGAAUGAGGUAAAGAAGGAGAACUAAAAUCAUAAAACCUAAUUUAAAUUGAGGAUAAAAAAGUAAUUUAACUUUUUAGCGGGUAACAGGUACCCGCAGGUAUUAAUAAUGUAAUACCCGAACUCGACUCGAUAAUGAGUGCGUAUUAAAAAAUCUGCUACUCGCUACCCGUGGGUACUUAUUACCCGCGGGUACUUACUAUUCACAACGGGUUUAAUCCGCAGAUACCCGCGGGAACGAAUUUUUUUGCCAUCCCUAUCCACUUGACCCAAACUCAUUGUCAUCCUUAUACUCUACCUUUGAUCAAUCAAGGACUAAAUCCAUCUUAAAUAAAGAGUACCAACUUCUAAACACGAGGUCUAAGUUGUUCGAUCCAAUCUAAGUUCAUUAAUAUUUUCAGUUACUAUUAUUUUUAGGGUUAAAUAUGUUUUUGGUCCCUUAACUUUUAGUGAAAAUUGGAAUUAGGCACUCUUUGAAACUUUGGACUAAUUUAGUCCCUUAUCUUUAAAACUGCUUGAAUUUAGUCUCUUUAACCAAAUUUUGUUAAGUUUAUUUGAGGUUUCAAAUGCAUUUCUCAAUUAACAUUGAAGAAAAAAUGUGUUAAACAGUGUAAAAAACUCAAAUGCUAUCAUGAAAUACGUUUGAAAUGUCAAAUAAACUUGGCAAAAUUUGGUUAAAAGGACUAAGUCCACAUAUUUUUAAAGUUGAGGAACUAAAUUGGGUCAAAGUUUCGAGGAGAGACUAAUUCCAAUUUUUACUAAAAAUUAAGGAAAAAAAAAUAUGUAACCCUUAUUUUUAUUAUGUUAGUUAUAUUGUUAUUAUUAACAGAACUUAUGUGUCUAAUAAAUUUUAUAUAUAUAUAUAUAUAUAUAUAUAUAUAUAUAUAUAUAUAUAUAUAUAUAUAUAAUUUAUAACAGAAGCAAGUACACACUGUUCAUUAUUGAACACUCUUCCCAUUUAUGAUCCACACUCUUUUAGUGACUAAAAUAUCAGAGUUUCUUUGUAGGUACAUAUCUUUUUUUUUUUGCUCAGUUCAAACUAACUAUUUAACGGCGACAACCUAGUUUGGAAAGAUUGUUGACUCUCCUCAAAGAUUCGGUAGACCUCGGUAAGAACAACAGCGAAAAUAAACUUCAAGAUAACUCAGUCGUUAAAGUUACUGGUUUUAUAUAGUUAAGAUUGUUGAAGUGUAUGAUAUUGGUGAUGUAAUGAACAAUGGUUGAGUACCUCAUAUCAAUAUUAAUGUAAAAUCUACAAAAUAAAGGAAGUAAGAAGCUCCCACAAUAGUAUUACUCUAAGUGUAUACAAUAAUAAAAUAUAUAAAAUCUGCUUUGUCAUGUUGCAUUUGAACCUUCUGAAGUUAUGCAGUUUUGAACACACAAAACCCAGCAGACUCAUUUAUUGAAGACAGCAUUCCUCAUUAACACAGCUACAAUAACGGUGUUAUUAAACUCUUCUCACCUCUCCAAACAUAGGUCAAAGUUGCAACCACCCACAUUAUAAUCCGAAACCAAAUCUAAAAUUUCGGAGUGCAUUUCAUAGCAUGUAAUGACCAAUGACCAACUAAUCCCAAGCUAAGUAUUAUAAAUAGUAUGUUUAUGCAACAACUAUGACUCAAGCCUUCACACAUUUCCCCUUUUAGUUUCCAUCAGUUGUUUUAGCAAUGAGAAAGGGUUCUAUUCUCCACUCUGCACUUUUGUGCUUCUGGGUUCCCUUGUUGCUCCUUGUCACCUUCACUUAUGCUACUUCUGCUUUCGCCACAACUCAAAUUUCAGGUUUACACAUUACUCCCUUUUAGGCUUUUAUACCAGGUUUUCUUUUCUGUAACGUGUCAAUAAAGUUUCAAACACAUUGAAAAUACCAAUUACAAAUCAUUCUCAUUUUUGUAUAUGAUGUUUGUUUGUCAUUCAUCCUUAAAAAAAUGUGUUUCUUUUUUAUAACCACAUUUUCUAUACUGUGUUCGUUUUUGUUAUUUAAUAUAACUGCAUUUUUUAUGCAGGAAAUGAAGUGAACGAGAAUGGGAUAGUUGUGAAUGAAGAUUUAGAAAAAGUAAAUGCAGAAGGACAUGAUGAUGAAGAAUCAAAAUUCAAAGGAUUGUUUCCUAAACCAAUUCCAUUUGCUAAACCUAUUCCAAAGNNNNN
rnacentral:lncRNA from 1 species